UACGGGGGGGGCAAGCGUUGUUCGGAAUUACUGGGCGUAAAGGGCUCGUAGGCGGCCAACUAAGUCAGACGUGAAAUCCCCAGGCUCAACCUGGGAACUGCGUCUGAUACUGGAUGGCUUGAAUUCGGGAGAGGGAUGCAGAAUUCCAGGUGUAGCGGUGAAAUGCGUAGAUAUCUGGAGGAAUACCGGUGGCGAAGGCGCCAUCCUGGACCGACAUUGACGCUGAUGAGCGAAAGCUAGGGGAGCAAACGGG
rnacentral:rRNA from 1 species